UAUAUUUUAGUAUAAGGUGUAUGAGAGCUUUUGAUGCUUUAGGGAAUAGUUUAAUUCUAUUAAAUAUAU
rnacentral:tRNA from 1 species